rnacentral:rRNA from 1 species
GACGAGCAUCACAAGCGUUAUUCGGAAUUACUGGGCUUAAAGGGUGCGUAGGCGGUGCAGUAAGUCGGGAGUGAAAUCCCACAGCUCAACUGUGGAAUUGCUUUCGAUACUGCUGUGCUUGAGUGAGAUAGAGGUAAGCGGAACUUAGGGUGGAGCGGUGAAAUGCGUUGAUAUCCUAAGGAACACCGGUGGCGAAGGCGGCUUACUGGGUCUCUACUGACGCUGAUGCACGAAAGCCAGGGUAGCGAACGGG